UACGCGUAAGGGGUUAAGGGUUAGGAUAGCGGUGUUGUGCUGCGCUGCGUGUGAAGAGGUGAGAGACCUUGAGAGCGGUACGAAGGCCGAGAGCGGCGGCGGAGCGGCUGCGACGUUUGGAGAGCGGGCCAGAGGGCGGAGGCCGCGUUGGUGGCUGUGGUAGUGCCACAAGUAGAAGUGGAGGUGGUGGCGAAGGGAGGGAAUCGGCGGCUGCCGCCCCCAGCGCCAGCGAAAGAGGACCAGCCGUGUAUGCGGCGAAGACUACCAUCGCGUCCUGUCCUACAACCAUCAGGGCUCUCGUACCGUUUAAGUCCUAGACGUAUACAACCAGAGAAACAGGCUUACGAACCGAACCUAUUACUGCGAGUACUAUCCCUUGUACGAUAAACGUGUGAGACCGUAAUGAGGGAACCACCUGUCUUCACGUAGCUACUCUAUUACGUCAAGGGUCCAACGUAGUCGGAGUAGUAGUCGGAGGAUUUCAGUCUCAGACGAACACGAACACUUCGUCGCCGUCCGGAACACGUAUUAUAUUGAAGUCACUUCAAUAUGUCCCUACACCGUUAACUCUCACCUCGUUACCUUCUUUAGAAAUCGACAUAGGCAUUUAGGUGCUAUUGGGGUCUCUAUUUCCUCGUCACAAACACAUGGUAAACCUUGAAGAGACAACUGCUUUUAAACUCUAUGUUCGAAAACCCCUCACUAUACGAUUAUGGUUAUCAAUCCAAGGAUCUACUACUUCUGUAUUUUCACUUUCUUCAACGACGAUCAUAGUGUAGUAUAAAUUGAAAUUCAGUAAGAAUAGUACCUCGAGACCAGCUUCGACCACAUUAAGGUUUUGACCAAGUAGAAGACGUUUGGUUUCUGCUACUAAUAUUUUCAUAGUCUUUCCUUCGAUCUUCCAGCGAGCACCUUGAUAGGUGCCUACUAUCAAUGGUACGGGAAUAUCACCCAGUCCCAGAUCAGGCCUAAGGAGACCAACCGAGUAGGCGAAUAUUUCGGAAGUCUGGAGUUGGAGUAAGUACCGGGAGAAAAGGACUACCGAGCCUUUAAGUUGCCUCAAGAGCCGGAAGUUUUAUACCACGUUGACUUAACGAAGAACCGGACUAAGAUUUACUCUUCUUUCGUCUCGGUCUACUUCGAUUUUAAUUACGAUACUAUCCCGCAAGAUUAGUCGUUAAAGAACGUGCGCAACCUCGAUAACUCAAACUAAUACUUCCCUUUCUUGUUAGACCUAGAGUUUCCUUACUAGUGGUGUGGUAGAAUGGAACCUAUCUACCACAACGUGCCGAUCAAAAUUAUUAACCAGAGGUUCUACAGAGACGUUAACGUUUCCGACGAGUACGUUAGCCACUACGUAGUCAUUUACUUGUGUACGCGUGAAGUAAGUACCUUCGACCCCGACACUUUAGAAAUGAAGUCAACGACUACGUAUUACUACAUGGACAGUCUCUUCGCUCACGAAUACGUAACCUUUUUGAUUCACAGUCAAGGCUUCAAACACUCUUCUAGUCUCAUCUUCUACCGGCUCUCGACGAACAUUUACAUGACUUCCUAAGUCUAUGGGGUCAUCUUGUUAACCUCUUCUAUUAGGUAUAUGAAAGAGCUUAUGAACUAUACCUCCAGUCGUACUAAUGACGCGGACUAAUGAUACGAUCAUGACCCAGACUCCUAUAUCGCCUGCUACUCUUCACGUCAGUUCCAUUACAUCUACCACUCGAGUUACCUUGCAGGGUUUUAAAUAACUUUGUUCUGCUCAACCUAUCAACAUCGCUAAGUUAGAAACUGGAACUACAGUAGAGUGCGAAUUAGUUUCAAGAAUUCUUAGUAGAGGUUCGGACGUUCUUUUUACACGAUGAGAGGACCUCGUAAAUCGUCGAACACUCGUUGUACCGUGACGUUACUGACGACGGGCUAGACUCAGUCAUUAACUUCGACAAGAUCUUUACCCCCAAUAAGUACCAUUAAUCAAACUAAGUAAAUACGUAUUUGUAAUAUCUACGUUUACGUCUGAAUUGAAGAACUGAAUAAAACAUUGGUAGGUGGUUUAUCUAGCUCAAAACUUAAACCAAUGAAGGUGAGACUUAUUCAAGCACUCAAAAUGUCCUCGUUUACUUAUUCCGGUAAGC
rnacentral:rRNA from 1 species